rnacentral:ncRNA from 1 species
GGGUACCGCUGACACUGCCACUUCUCUUCGCCGCUCGGUACAAGCGUCGGGGGAAGG